GACGAACGCUGGCGGCGUGCCUAAUACAUGCGAGUUGAGCGCUGAAGGUUGGUACUUGUACCGACUGGAUGAGCAGCGAACGGGUGAGUAACGCGUGGGGAAUCUGCCUUUGAGCGGGGGACAACAUUUGGAAACGAAUGCUAAUACCGCAUAAAAACUUUAAACACAAGUUUUAAGUUUGAAAGAUGCAAUUGCAUCACUCAAAGAUGAUCCCGCGUUGUAUUAGCUAGUUGGUGAGGUAAAGGCUCACCAAGGCGAUGAUACAUAGCCGACCUGAGAGGGUGAUCGGCCACAUUGGGACUGAGACACGGCCCAAACUCCUACGGGAGGCAGCAGUAGGGAAUCUUCGGCAAUGGACGAAAGUCUGACCGAGCAACGCCGCGUGAGUGAAGAAGGGUGUCGGAUCGUAAAACUCUGUUGGUAGAGAAGAACGUUGGUGAGAGUGGAAAGCUCAUCAAGUGACGGUAACUACCCAGAAAGGGACGGCUAACUACGUG
rnacentral:rRNA from 1 species